CGAGAGGCUGGCGCGGGCAGGCGCCUCGCCAACCCGGUCAGGUCCGGAAGGAAGCAGCCGCAACGAGCCCCGCCUGGGUCGCGUUCAGUCUCUCACCC
rnacentral:SRP_RNA from 1 species